CUUGGACAAUGGACGAAAGUCUGAUCCAGCAAUUCUGCGUGCGGGAUGAAGGUCUAUGGAUCGUAAACCGCUUUUCUGAAGGAAGACGAAUGACGGUACUUCAGGAAUAAGCGACGGCUAACUUCGUGCCAGCAGCCGCGGUAAUACGAAGGUCGCAAGCGUUAUCCGGAGUUACUGGGCGUAAAGAGUUCGUAGCUGGUCUAGUAAGUCUGAUUUUAAAGACUCUGUCUCAAGCAGAGGAAGGGGUCAGAUACUGCUAUUCUGGAGAUAACUGGGGGUUAGUGGAAUUACCGGUGGAGGGGUGAAAUCCGUUGAUAUCGGUAGGAACGCCAAAAGCGAAAGCAACUAACUAUGGUUUUCUGACAGUCAAGAACGAAAGCUCGGGGAUCAAACGGGAUUAGAUACCCCGGUAGUCCGAGCCGUAAAUUAUGUCUGCUAAGUGUUUGGGCUUAUACCCCAAGUGCUGUUACCUAACGGGUUAAGCAGAUCGCCUGGGUAGUAUACUCGCAAGAGUGAAACUCAAAGGGAUAGGCGGGGGAACACACAAGAGGUGGAUUGUCUCGAGUAAUUGGAUAAUAAGCCAGAAAUCUUACCUUCACUUGACAUGCUAUGUGUCAUACGGGUGAUCCGUAUUACCCUUCGGGGGCGUAGCACAGUUGGUGCAUGGUUGUCGUCAGUUCGUGCCUCAAGGUGUCGGGUUAAUUCUCGAAACGAACGCAACCCUCAUCCUAUGUUACUAUGUCAUAGGAGACUGCCCGGGUAACCGGGAGGAAGGUGUGGAUGACGUCAAAUCCUCAUGCUACUUACGUGAAGGGCUUCAGAGGCAAUACAAUGGGGUGGUACAAUCAGAAGCAAUGGGGCGACCCGGAGCAAAUCUAUAAAACACCCCUUAGUUCGGAUUGUAGUCUGGAACUCGACUACAUGAAGUAGGAAUCUCUAGUAAUGGCAAAUCAGCAAGUUGCCGUGAAUAUGUCCCUGUUCCUUGCACUCACUGCCCGUCAAACUAUGAAAGCUGAGGCGCGUUGAAGCAUCGCAAUGCGGUACGAAACGUGAAUCAGUGAUUGGAGUUAAGUCGUAACAAGGCAUCCCUACGGGAACGUGGGGAUA
rnacentral:rRNA from 1 species